AUGGCCGGCGAAGAGGGUUCCGAGCAGAAGGAAGUGACCGCGGAGGAGACUUCCUCCAGCCCCACGCAGCAGACCUCGUCCACCGACGGGGUGCGCACGCCGGAGCGGUGCACCACCGAGCCUCAGGCGGAGGCUCAGAUCGAGGAGCCGGUUUCCGAGCCUCAGGCCGAGGCCGAAGAUCAGGAAGGCUACGAUGACCAGGAAGCAGAUCUUGAUUACCAAGACGAUGCUGACUACGACGGCUACGACGACGACGGCGAGGACGAUUACGAGUAUGGGUCUGAGUCUGACUACGACUCUGAAUACGAGGACGAGGAUGAUUACGACUGGGAGUCUGAGUUUGCGAAGCACCGGCCAGUGGUCAGGGAGACGUUGUUAAACUUUCCUGAGGCCGCCAAUCUGGAACCUCAAGAGCUGGACGCCGCGGUGGAGAGGGUCCUCGAGCAGUCCAAGCCCGAGUACAGGGACGUGACCGCCCCAGGCAAGGUUCGGCUGUUGAAAAACGACAUAAGGCUGAUCUUGGCCGAGAAGUGGGAGCCCCCCAACAUCCACAAGCUUCCGUCCAUAAUAUGCCCCGCUGAGAUGAUCAAGAGAAGCGAGGAGCUGGACAAGGAGCUGCCGCCGGGGAACGACAGGGAGGCCGAUGACAGGUUUGCAGAGUUGCAGGCCAAGGUCCGCAAGGAUCUGAUCGAGAAGGGGUACGCCGAGGUUGACGAAGACUACUAUGACAACAGGGGCGAAUUUUGGGAGGAGCUGAGGGAAGAGUGGAACAAGAUUGACUUCAGGAGACUGGACUUUCAGCUCCCGGGUGCAGGGGCACCCUCAUGA
rnacentral:rRNA from 1 species